GGAGAGGUGGCCGAGUGGUCGAAGGCGCACGCCUGGAAAGUGUGUAUACCUCAAAAGGGUAUCGCGGGUUCGAAUCCCGCCUUCUCCGCAA
rnacentral:tRNA from 1 species